CCUACGGGAGACUGCAGUGAGGAAUAUUGGUCAAUGGACGAGAGUCUGAACCAGCCAAGUAGCGUGAAGGAUGACUGCCCUAUGGGUUGUAAACUUCUUUUAUAUGGGAAUAAAAUGUUCCACGUGUGGGAUUUUGUAUGUACCAUAUGAAUAAGGAUCGGCUAACUCCGUGCCAGCAGCCGCGGUAAUACGGAGGAUCCGAGCGUUAUCCGGAUUUAUUGGGUUUAAAGGGAGCGUAGGUGGAUUGUUAAGUCAGUUGUGAAAGUUUGCGGCUCAACCGUAAAAUUGCAGUUGAAACUGGCAGUCUUGAGUACAGUAGAGGUGGGCGGAAUUCGUGGUGUAGCGGUGAAAUGCUUAGAGAUCACGAAGAACUCCGAUUGCGAAGGCAGUUCACUGGACUGCAACUGACACUGAGGCUCGAAAGUGUGGGUAUCAAACAGGAUUAGAUACCCGAGUAGUC
rnacentral:rRNA from 1 species